GAAAAAGUCCCUCCCGACUCUCUUCAGUGUGUGUGUUGAAACGUUGAAACUUAGAGAGAGAAAAUAAAGAGAGAGAAAACUCAGAUACGAGAGUGUAAACUCUGUGAGCUUUGAGCUGCAAAAAUCAUCAAAUUUUGCUUAUAAAUCUCUAGUUGAGUUUUAGCUAUGGGAGAAGGGGAGACAGUUUCUGAGGUGGUAGAGGCACCUGCUAAUGGAAAUGUGGCAGUGGCAGACAAGAGUGAAGCCAAGGACUUGCACGCGGAAAAGGAUGGAACGAAGGAAGUGAAAGAAGAAGAGAGUAAAGAGAAUGAUAAAGAUGUUGCUGAAAAGGAUGGAACGAAGGAAGUGAAAGAAGAAGAGAGUAAAGAGAAUGAUAAAGAUGUUGCUGAAAAGAUGGAUAUAGACAAAGAAGAGGCAAAAGAGACCAAAGGAGAAGAAGAGGUGAAAGAGAACAUUGAAAAAGAGGAAGUUGCAAAAGAAGACAAUGAAAAAGAGGAAGAGGCAAAAGAAAACAACGGAAAGGGGGAAGAGGUGAAAGAAACCAAUGAAACUAAAGAAGAAGAGAAACCUGACCAGGAAAUUGAAGUGGAGGAAGAGAAGCCACAAACCAAGAGUGAGGCAAUGGAAGAAGAGCCAGAUAAUAAGGAUGUGGAAGAGGAAAUGGCUGAAGAGCAGGAUAACAAGGAUGAGGAAAUGGCUGAAGAGCCAGAUAAUAAGGAUGAUGAUGAAGAAAUGGCUGAAGAGCCAGAGAACAAGGAUGAGGAGGUUAGAGAGGAGGGUGAGAAAGACGAUAACAAAACUAAUGAAAAGCAUAAAGAUAAAGAAGGGUCUAAGAAGAGUGUUAAAUCCAAGGGGCAGAAAGACAAUAAAAGGAAACGAGAAGUUGCACCAAAGAAGGAGAAGGAGCCAAAAACUCCUGCACCCCCAACAAUUGACCGCCCUGUACGUGAACGCAAAUCUGUUGAAAGGCUUGUUGCUUCUAUUGACAGAGAAGCCAACAAGGAAUUCCGUAUUGAAAAGGGUCGUGGAACUGCACUAAAAGAUAUCCCCAAUGUUGCAUACAAAUUAUCCAAAAAGAAGACGGAAGACACUUUCAAAUUGCUGCACACUAUUCUCUAUGGGCGGCGUGGAAAGGCAGCCCAGAUCAAGAGCAAUAUUUCACGGUUUUCUGGCUUUGUCUGGCAUGAAAAUGAGGAAAAGCAA
rnacentral:misc_RNA from 1 species